UAGUGAGUUUGAUCCUGGCUCAGGACGAACGCUGGCGGCGUGCUUAACACAUGCAAGUCGAGCGGAAAGGCCACUUCGGUGGUACUCGAGCGGCGAACGGGUGAGUAACACGUGAGUAAUCUGCCCCUGGCUUUGGGAUAGCCACCGGAAACGGUGAUUAAUACCGGAUAUGACCACUUCUCGCAUGGGAUGGUGGUUGGAAAGUUUUUUCGGCCAGGGAUGUGCUCGCGGCCUAUCAGCUUGAUGGUGAGGUAAUGGCUCACC
rnacentral:rRNA from 1 species